AAAGAUUAAGCCAUGCAUGUCUAAGUAUAAGCAAUCUAUACUGUGAAACUGCGAAUGGCUCAUUAAAUCAGUUAUCGUUUAUUUGAUAGUACCUUACUACUUGGAUAACCGUGGUAAUUCUAGAGCUAAUACAUGCUAAAAACCCCGACUUUUGGAGGGGUGUAUUUAUUAGAUAAAAAACCAAUGCCCUUCGGGGCUCCUUGGUGAUUCAUAAUAACUUAACGAAUCGCAUGGCCUUGUGCCGGCGAUGGUUCAUUCAAAUUUCUGCCCUAUCAACUUUCGAUGGUUAGGUCUUGGCUAACCAUGGUUU
rnacentral:rRNA from 1 species